rnacentral:rRNA from 1 species
GACAGAGGGGGCAAGCGUUGCUCGGAAUUACUGGGCGUAAAGGGCGCGUAGGCGGCUUGGCAAGUGGAUGGUGAAAUCCCUCGGCUUAACCGAGGAACUGCCGUCCAAACUGCUUUGCUUGAGACCGGGAGAGGUGAGUGGAAUUCCCAGUGUAGCGGUGAAAUGCGUAGAUAUUGGGAGGAACACCAGUGGCGAAGGCGGCUCACUGGACCGGUACUGACGCUGAGGCGCGAAAGCGUGGGGAGCGAACAGG